GUAUGUGAGGGCAAUCUGGCUGGGACAUCUGUCACUCCAUUGACUGCUAGAGUUGAUCUGGCUGAUCUGGCAGGCUAGAAGAGUCCCCUUCCUUCGUCACCGCUCCAUGUGGGUCCCGCCUGAAACUUCAAGCUCGGUCAAAGAGGACAACUUUCCCCCAUAGAGGAGAAGAAUCACUUCCUGGAUUAAGAACGUACAAGUAGCUGAGCUUCCCUGCUAGAACCUCCAAACAAGCUCUCAAAAACAAUGAUAUUAACCAAAAUUCCCUUGGAAAGAACGCAUUUAUCAUUAGGUCACCCUGAAAAGACCCUGCAUAAUAAAUGGAUAUGACAG
rfam:Heterocephalus glaber contig207138, whole genome shotgun sequence.